GAGUUUGAUCUUGGCUCAGGAUGAACGCUAGCGGCAGGCUUAACACAUGCAAGUCGAGGGGUAGAAGUUGCUUGCAACUUUGAGACCGGCGCACGGGUGCGUAACGCGUAUGCAAUCUACCUUGUACAGGGGGAUAGCCCAGAGAAAUUUGGAUUAAUACCCCAUAGUGUAAUUGAAUGGCAUCAUUUAAUUACUAAAGUUCCAACGGUACAAGAUGAGCAUGCGUCCUAUUAGCUAGUUGGUGUGGUAACGGCAUACCAAGGCUACGAUAGGUAGGGGUCCUGAGAGGGAGAUCCCCCACACUGGUACUGAGACACGGACCAGACUCCUACGGGAGGCAGCAGUGAGGAAUAUUGGACAAUGGGCGCAAGCCUGAUCCAGCCAUGCCGCGUGCAGGAAGACGGUCCUAUGGAUUGUAAACUGCUUUUAUACGGGAAGAAACACUCCUACGUGUAGGAACUUGACGGUACCGUAAGAAUAAGGAUCGGCUAACUCCGUGCCAGCCGCCGCAGUAAC
rnacentral:rRNA from 1 species